CCUACGGGAGGCAGCAGUGGGGAAUUUUGGACAAUGGGCGCAAGCCUGAUCCAGCCAUGCCGCGUGCAGGAUGAAGGCCUUCGGGUUGUAAACUGCUUUUGUACGGAACGAAAAGACUCUGGUUAAUACCUGGGGUCCAUGACGGUACCGUAAGAAUAAGCACCGGCUAACUACGUGCCAGCAGCCGCGGUAAUACGUAGGGUGCGAGCGUUAAUCGGAAUUACUGGGCGUAAAGCGUGCGCAGGCGGUUAUAUAAGACAGAUGUGAAAUCCCCGGGCUCAACCUGGGAACUGCAUUUGUGACUGUAUAGCUAGAGUACGGCAGAGGGGGAUGGAAUUCCGCGUGUAGCAGUGAAAUGCGUAGAUAUGCGGAGGAACACCGAUGGCGAAGGCAAUCCCCUGGGCCUGUACUGACGCUCAUGCACGAAAGCGUGGGGAGCAAACAGGAUUAGAUACCCUGGUAGUCCACGCCCUAAACGAUGUCAACUGGUUGUUGGGUCCUCACUGACUCAGUAACGAAGCUAACGCGUGAAGUUGACCGCCUGGGGAGUACGGCCGCAAGGUUGAAACUCGAAAGGAAUUGACGCGUGAGACGNGACGACGACGACGACGAGGGAGGAGG
rnacentral:rRNA from 1 species